GACGAACGCUGGCGGCGUGCUUAACACAUGCAAGUCGAACGGAAAGGCCCUGCUUUUGUGGGGUGCUCGAGUGGCGAACGGGUGAGUAACACGUGAGUAACCUGCCCUUGACUGUGGGAUAACUUCAGGAAACUGGGGCUAAUACCGGAUAGGAGCUCCUGCUGCAUGGUGGGGGUUGGAAAGUUUCGGCGGUUGGUGAUGGAAUCGCGGCUUAUCAGCUUGUUGGUGGGGUAGUGUCUUACCAAGGCUUUGACCGGUAGCCGGCCUGCGAGGGUGACCGGCCACAUUGGGACUGAGCUGCGGCACAGACUCCUACGGGACGCAGGAGUGGGGAAUAGUGCACAAGAGGCGGGAGCAUGACGCAGCAACGCCGCGUGCGGGAUGACGGCCUUCGGGUUGUAAACCGCUUUCGCCUGUGACGAAGCGUGAGUGACGGUAAUGGGUAAAGAAGCACCGGCUAACUACGUG
rnacentral:rRNA from 1 species